UGCUACAAUGGCAUAUACAAAGAGAAGCGACCUCGCGAGAGCAAGCGGACCUCAUAAAGUAUGUCGUAGUCCGGAUUGGAGUCUGCAACUCGACUCCAUGAAGUCGGAAUCGCUAGUAAUCGUAGAUCAGAAUGCUACGGUGAAUACGUUCCCGGGCCUUGUACACACCGCCCGUCACACCAUGGGAGUGGGUUGCAAAAGAAGUAGGUAGCUUAACCUUCGGGAGGGCGCUUACCACUUUGUGAUUCAUGACUGGGGUGAAGUCGUAACAAGGUAACCGUAGGGGAACCUGCGGUUGGAUCACCUCCUUACCUUAAAGAA
rnacentral:rRNA from 1 species